CUGUGUAGAAGGGAAGAAAAAACAUUUCCAUGACUUUUUGGGAUGUUUGAUGCUCUCAGCAGCCAAUGGUGUGGAUGUAUGUGGUGUGAGCAGCUGGUAAAUGAUUGCUUGUGUCGGAGGAGCUGCCCAGAAAAAAAAAAAAAAAGGAGAAAGUGACCAGUUGGAGAAGGAGAUGCUUGCUUGCCGAAGAAUCUCCUGCUGACCUGGAAGCUCCGUGAAGUGAUGUUGAAGCGCCGCGGCUUCCGAGUGAGGAAUCCUCUCCUGAGGGAGUGCAUGGCCGAAUUCUUGGGCACUUUUAUCUUGUUGCUUUUCGGCUGCUCCGCGGCAGCGCAGGUGAAGACCAGCAGGGAGACCAAAGGCCAGUUUCUAUCGGUCAACAUGUCCUUCUCAGUGGGCGUGAUGUCGGCCAUGUACCUCACCAAAGGCAUCACGGGUGCCCAUCUGAACCCGGCCGUAACGUUCAGUUUCUGCGUGUUGGGCCAGGUGCCAUGGAAGAGGAUGCUGCCAUAUUGGCUCUCCCAGGUUCUGGGAGCAUAUGUGGCAUCGGGAGUUGUCUACAUGGUGUAUUAUGAUGCUAUAAUGCAUUUUAGUGGCGGAGUACUGACUGUGUAUGGACCAAAUGAGACGGCAUCCAUAUUUGCUACAUAUCCCUCUGAGUAUGUCACCUUAGGAAGGAGUUUCCUGGAUCAGGUCGUAGGCACCGGCAUGCUCAUGUUGUGCAUCCUCUGCUUGGAUGAGAAGAGGAACACCCCGGCUCCCGGCAGCCUGAUUCCCGCCAUCGUAGCCGUGAUCGUGCUGGGCAUCUCCAUGUCCAUGUCGAGCAACUGCGGGGCGGCCAUAAAUCCCGCCCGUGAUCUCGGACCCCGACUUCUUACUCUAACUGCAGGCUGGGGCUCGGAAGUAUUCACAAACAGAAGCAUUGUUGAAAUAUUGGGACGAGCAGAGCAGAGCAACACCAUGGAUGCGUUUCCCAAGCAAGGAAGCAGGAAUCUGGAAAAGGAUGCACGCUUUCCUCCCCCUCCCCUUCCCGGCUCCAUCCCAUCGCCAUCCUCAUCGUCAUCCUCAUCCGGCAUCUCCCCACAACAACUCCCAACCUCGUGGUGACCUCAGGCCAGCGUGAGGAGCAGCGAGGAUGCCUCCGCUGGAUUUCUUUCACUCUCGUCAACUUUAAGGAGAUAAACUAAUUUGGGCGGCACGGUGGAGCAGCUUGAAAGCAUUGGCCUCAGAGUUCUGAGGUCCCGGGUUCGAUCCCGGACCCGCCUGUGUGGAGUUUGCAGGUUCUCCCCAUGCCUGUGUGGGUUUUCUCCGGGCACUUCCCGGUUCCCAUCCACAUCCCAAAAACAUGCAAUAUUAAUUGGACACUAAAUUGUCUCUGUGAGUGCAACUGUUUGUCUCUAUGCGCUCUGCCAUUGGCUGGCAACCAGUUUAGGGUGUACCCCACCUCCUGCCCAUUGAUGUGGGAUAGGCUCCAGUACUCCCACGACCCUUGUGAAAAUAAGCGGCUAAGAAACUGGAUGAAUGGAACUAAUUUGGUGUGGCUAAAAGGUUCAGCUCCCAACCCGAUGGACGGCGAUUGGAUCCUGAGCCCCAUAUGGCCCAGAUGUUGAACCCCCAGUUGCUUCUGACGUUGUCAUCAGUAGGCAAAUGUUUAGUGUUUAAGAGCUUUGAAAGUAGAAAAGUACGAUCAAAGCAAAAGCCCAUUGAGCAUUUCCCAUGUAAAUAUAAAUGGAAGAAUAAAGAUUUGUGUGUCUAGUAAAAGGACAAGAAGGUCGUUAGUGUAACAGGCAGGAAGGAAGAGA